CUGCGGAGGACAUUGUCG
rnacentral:rRNA from 1 species